rnacentral:rRNA from 1 species
AUGAGUUCGUCAUAUGAUUCUUCUGAACAAGAAUUUGAUCUGGAAGAGGAGGAGGAUCUUGCAAUGAUCGUAGCUAUGCACAUCAAUAAAAAACUGAAGCACGGUGUUUCGGUUAUGGGUCGACAGAAAAUUUGGAGGGAUAGGAUCGAUGCCCACAACAGAUUGAUCAGGCACUAUUUUGCGAAUAAUCCCGUGUACCCCGAGUCGUACUUCCGGUGCCGGUUUAGGACGAGCACCGAGUUGUUCAGGCACACUGCAGAGAAACUAGCGAGCCAUGACCGGUUUUUUCAGCAAAGGAGGAAUGUCGCCGGAGAGCUCGGGCAUAGCACCUUUCACAAGGUGACAACCGCUCUGUGUAUAUUGGCAUACGGUAUCCCCGCUGAUCUAGUUGAUGAUCACUUGACCAUGGGUGAGAGUCAAGCCAUCAUGUGUGUCAAGCGCUUCACAGUCGGAAUUGUGCAAGUGCUUGGCCAGGAGUAUUUGAGAUCUCCCAAUGCUGAAGACGUCGCAAGGCUAUUGGAGAUGAACAAAGCUUGUGGCUUCCCGGGUAUGCUUGGCUCAAUAGAUUGCAUGCAUUGGAGUUGGAAGAAUUGUCCUAAGGCAUGA